rnacentral:misc_RNA from 1 species
AAUUAAUCCAACACAGUCACUUGAGUCCCUUGGGUAAAAUUCAAUGCCGUACAAAAGCAUGGGUAUACAGAAUAUCACAAACAAGACUGAGAAUGAUGUUGAUAUCUAUACGCUGAACAGUCUACGAGCCGAGUUUUUGACUGUCAACACCGUCAUUUUAGGCGUAUAUCUGGUAAUCGGAGUGCUCGGAAACUCUUUAGUGUUUUACAUUUACAAAUGUUGCAUCACCAAGCACCGCACGGAUCGGUUUUUCAUUCCAUAUCUAGCGGUAUCGGAUGCUCUGUCGUGUAUUGUUGGAAGUGGAUUUGGUCUAGCUUUAAAUCUGUUACCCAUCCGAUUUUCAGGAGAUGCUUUGUGUAAAGGCCUUUGGUUUCUCACAAAAUGGUCCACCUUGGUCUCAGCACUGAUGCUUUUAUUGAUUGCCAUAGAACGAUACAAGAAAGUUUGCAAACCAUUUGGACCACAGAUGACGCCACUUGCUAAACAGCUUUCCAUUAUUGCGUUAUUCGUUCUGUCUGCUAUUUUAACCUUUCCAACAGUAUUUUUUCAUGGUGAAAUUUCAUUUCCUGCAAGGGGUACUUCUCAUCUUACAGGUAAUUUUUUUUCAUUUGAUUUCCAUUUGUUAUCGCUAUUUUGACAUUUAUUAUUAUACGAAGUACCAUUUUUACUUUUCUUUUCUUUACGUAGAAAAAGUGCAUUUGUUUUUUUUUAAAAGUUCCUACUGACGGUUUUUUUUAUUGCUUUUCAGGAUACAGAUGUGGGCGAAAUACUUUUCUUACAGGUCUGGAAGGAUACUUCACAAUAUAUAAUGUUGUUCUAGCUGCUGUUGCUUUCACUGGUAUCACAGCAGUUACAAUUCUAUACGUCUUUGUCGGGAAAACUAUUUACAAACAAACCAAAUUUCGGAGUCGAUUUGCAUCAUCUCCAAGGAAGAGUUAUAUUUCACCGAAGUCCGACUCGGGAGUUGUAUCUGAUGGUAACGAUGACGUUUUCCUGGAGAAUUCAGUAAAAGAAAAUGAAGAAAACAAAGCACGAAAAGACUCGGCCGAUUCUUUUUAUUCCACAGAUGACGAACUAGAGAGCACGGAUGCUGAUCUUCCCAGGAAAAAAAGCAGCAACAACCCAAGAAAGAAAAGCAUCAUCAGCCAUGUUUACACCGUUCCGCAAGUUCUCAGAAAAUUCAAAAUCUCAAUUCUGUUUAUGUGCAUUACCCUUGUGUUUAUUUUGACUUUCACUCCCAGACUGGUCAUCAUGAUUUCAGAGGCAACAAACAAGGGCUAUUGGAGUGGACUCACUGACAACCAAAUAAGAGCAUCUCUCUUUUUCUAUAGAUUUUAUAUUGUGAACAAUAUUGUAAACCCCUUUUUAUAUGCUGCUUUUGAUUCAAGAUUUAAGCAGGAAAUUAAGAAAAGGUUAUCCUGUUUUAAAAAAACAUAGUUUUGUCAGAUUUUUGUUUUAGUUGUUGAGUUUUAAGUUAUUGAAUGUGUUAUCGUAUUUUCCCAUCUGUAGAAUAUACAAUAAAGAAAUAAUGUACCUCAG